CAGUAGCGUAUAUUAACGUUGUUGCAGUUAAAAAGCUCGUAGUUGGAUUUCUGGCAUGGAGCGCCUGGCCCGCCGGCCUUUGUUGCCGCGUGAGUGCUGUGGGUUGCUCUUGCCAUCCCUUCCAGAGAGGCCGCCUGCCAUUCGUUUGGUGGGGCGCUGCCGAUCUGGGUCGUUUACUUUGAGUAAAUUAGAGUGUUUCAAGCAGGCAUUUGGCUAUGAAUACAUUAGCAUGGAAUAAUAAGAUAGGACUUUGGUCUCUAUUUUGUUGGUUUCUAGGACUGAAGUAAUGAUUGAUAGGGACGGUUGGGGGUGCUAGUAUUGAGCGGCCAGAGGUGAAAUUCUUGGAUUCGCUCAAGACUAACUUAUGCGAAAGCAUUCACCAAGGACGUCUUCUUUAA
rnacentral:rRNA from 1 species